GAUGAACGCUGGCGGCGUGCUUAACACAUGCAAGUCGAACGAAGCGCUUUACUUGAUCCCUUCGGGGUGAAUGUUUUGCGACUGAGUGGCGGACGGGUGAGUAACGCGUGGGUAACCUGCCUCAUACAGGGGGAUAACAGCUGGAAACGGCUGCUAAUACCGCAUAAGCGCACAGCUUCGCAUGAAGCAGUGUGAAAAACUCCGGUGGUAUAUGAUGGACCCGCGUCUGAUUAGCUAGUUGGUGGGGUAACGGCCUACCAAGGCGAUGAUGCAUAGCCGGCCUGAGAGGGUGAACGGCCACAUUGGGACUGAGACACGGCCCAAAACUCCUACGGGGAGCAGCAGUAGGGAAUUUUCGGCAAUGGGGGGAACCCUGACCGAGCAAUGCCGCGUGAGUGAAGACGGCC
rnacentral:rRNA from 1 species